rnacentral:rRNA from 1 species
GAUGAACGCUGGCGGCGUGCUUAACACAUGCAAGUCGAACGAGAAAUGGAGACGGACACCUUCGGGCGGAAGGCUUCAUUUCGAGUGGCGGACGGGUGAGUAACGCGUGGGUAACCUGCCUCAUACAGGGGGAUAACAGUUGGAAACGACUGUUAAUACCGCAUAAGACCACAGCACCGCAUGGUGCGGGGGUAAAAACUCCGGUGGUAUGAGAUGGACCCGCGUUCGAUUAGCCAGUUGGCGGGGUAACGGCCCACCAAAGCGACGAUCGAUAGCCGAUCUGAGAGGAUGUCCGGCCACAUUGGGACUGAGACACGGCCCAAACUCCUACGGGAGGCAGCAGUGGGGAAUAUUGCACAAUGGGGGAAACCCUGAUGCAGCGACGCCGCGUGAGUGAAGAAGUACUUCGGUAUGUAAAGCUCUAUCAGCAGGGAAGAAAAUGACGGUACCUGAGUAAGAAGCCCCGGCUAACUACGUG